rnacentral:tRNA from 1 species
GCUUUCGUAGCUCAGUUGGCAGAGCACAUCCUUGGUAAGGAUGAGGUCGUCGGUUCAAAUCCGAUCGAAAGCU